CCCCGCCUCUUCCCCCAAAGCUGCCUUUGAAAAACCCCUAACCUAUGAGCUUCAGAGGAGAUGAUUUGAGUAAACUCCAUCUCCCAUGUGGUGUUGCAGGCCUCGUAUCUACUAAACUCUCCUUAUUACAAGUCAGGAAGAACCCCUUAGGCAGUUACUUUACUAUACUGAAAUAUAGGAAAAAAAUCAAUCAUUUUCAGAGCUGAACAAACUAAAUGUUUACCAUAACAGAUCCUCAAUUAGGAAAUAUCUAAAUAAUAUACCUCAGAAGAGAGACUAUGGUCCCAGCUGGAAAAUUUAAAAUGCAAGAAGAAAUGCUGGAGUGCAGUAGUGCAGUCACAGCUGAGUGCAGCCUCCACCUCCCAGGGCUCAAGCAAUCCUGCCACCUCAGUCUACCAAGUAGCUGGAACUACAGACCUGAACCACCACACCCAGCUAAUUUUUUAUUUUUUGUAAAGAUGGGGUCUCACUGUGUUGCCCUGGCUGACCUCAAACUCCUGAACCCAAGCAAUCCUUUCACCACCUUGGCCUCCCAAAGUGUUAGGAUUAGAGGAAUGAGCCAUUGUGUCCAGCCAAAAUAAAUAUUUUAAGCAUGUAUAACUACUAAAGAGGGAUGCUGUGUAUACUGGAGGAUUUGCACCACAUUUCUGCUUGUAACAGCAACUCAUUUUUAGCGAGAAAUAAUUGAAUAAGCUCAAAGACCCUAAGAUCGGGGUGCUGAGAAGAGCCCAGGCAGCACAACAUGAGGACAGUGCUUUUCUUAUAAGAAAAGGGAAGAGAUAAAAAAGAUGGACAGAAAACAACAUAGAUGAUUUGGCAAAAUGAGAUAGAGGAGGAACUGUCUUCCAUAUGGGGAUAUACCAGUGAAGUCAGACCACAUUAACAGCAACAAAAAUCCAGAGUGGUAUACUUCCAUGUCCAUAUUAUUGGAAAAAAAUUCUUAACCAGUAAAAGCAUGGCACUGUGGAUUAAGUACCAGGCUAACAUCAAGGAAAUCAGGUGAUGAUAGCCUACUGUAUGUCCCCAGGCAGGAGCCAACACAUUUGCUGGUACAGAUGAGCUGCGUUCCUCACGGAGCACGGGCACAUCAAUUCUGGAACAGUCAGCCC